CAGCCGCCGCGGGAAUACGUAGGGUGCGAGCGUUAAUCGGAAUUACUGGGCGUAAAGCGUGCGCAGGCGGUUCGUUAAGACAGAUGUGAAAUCCCCGGGCUUAACCUGGGAACUGCAUUUGUGACUGGCGAGCUAGAGUAUGGCAGAGGGGGGUAGAAUUCCACGUGUAGCAGUGAAAUGCGUAGAGAUGUGGAGGAAUACCGAUGGCGAAGGCAGCCCCCUGGGCCAAUACUGACGCUCUUGCACGAAAGCGUGGGGAGCAAACAGGAUUAGAUACCCCGGUAGUCCCUGUCUCUUAUAC
rnacentral:rRNA from 1 species